AUGGCUUACUGCCUGGUGUGUGAGAAGUUGUUCAUCUUGAGUAUUCUUUUCCAGAAAAUUUACUUUCCAAGAUCUCUAUAUGUUGAUUCGUUGAACAAAAGUGUACCUUCUGUUGUGCAGAUGGACAAGCUAUAUGUAAAGUGGUCAGAUGUAUUCUUUUUUUCCAGCAUGUAUUACAUUGAUUAUAGUGUCCUAUCAAAGAUAGAAAUGUCCGUAUUAUGUUUGGGCACAAUUCAAAUCAUGGAGAACAGGAGAAGUCAGCAAUUUGAAAAUGUAAUCUUCUUAUGUUGGCUCUUAGUCUUACCAUAG
rnacentral:rRNA from 1 species